rnacentral:rRNA from 1 species
UCGAANGAUGAAAAGCNCUUUGAAAAGANAGUUAANCAGNACGUGAAAUUGUUGAAAGGNAAGCGCUUGCNACCAGACUCGCCUUUGAUCNAUCAACGUUCCUUCUGGUUCGUGCACUCGGNCUUCGGCGGGCCAGCAUCGGUUUGGGCGGAGGGACAAAGACUUUGGGAACGUGGCUGCCCUCGGGCAGNGUUAUANCCCUUUGUGUANUGCCUCCUGUCCGGACCGAGGACCGCGCUUCGGCUAGGAUGCUGGCGUAAUGGUCGUAAGCGACCCGUCUUGAAACACGGACCAAGGAGUCUAACAUCUAUGCNAGUGUUUGGGUGUCAAACCCAUACGCGUAAUGAAAGUGAACGGAGGUGGGAGCCCGCAAGGGUGCACCAUCGACCGAUCCUGAUGUCUUC